GGCUUGGUAGCUCAGAUGGUUAGAGCACACGGUUCAUACCCGUGGUGUCGGCGGUUCAAUUCCGCCUCAAGCCACCA
rnacentral:tRNA from 1 species